UUUCUAAGGAUGAUGUCUUCGAUCCAUGACCACCUCGGUCGUGUCUGGACAUCGCUUAGACACUAUGGCGCAACUUGCCGCCGCCUUCGUCUCCCUUCCUUUCCGUCGAUCUCCGGCGCAUGCGUACGCACAAGGGUGCGAUCGCGCGCCGGAUGUUCGCGAUUGUCUUGGCGAAGCGGCCCUGAAACGAGUUCACGACGAAUGCCGUUUCGGGCUCGUAGCUCAGGUGGUUAGAGCGCACGCCUGAUAAGCGUGAGGUCGGACGUUCAACUCGUCCCGGGCCCACCACUUGAUGAUGAAUGCCGAUCGAUCGAAAGCGAAAUCGGGGCCAUAGCUCAGUUGGGAGAGCGCUAGCUUUGCAAGCUUGAGGUCACCGGUUCGAUCCCGGUUGGCUCCACCAUCCUUGAAAGGAUGGUCGGCCAGGACAGCGAACAAUCCGUGACGGAAACACCAGUUUCGAAGAUGGGCGCUGAUAAGCGCGCGUCUGCGAAUAUUUGACAUUGUGAAGGCGAGGAUUAGCCGGUUUGCACAACCGGUUGAUCUGACAAUCUCGAUCUAAUGAUCGCGUCUCAUGCGCCAGAACCCGGAUGCAAAUCUGGGCUUAUCUCUGGGCAUGGGACACCAAUGCUGAGCGAU
rnacentral:tRNA from 1 species